rnacentral:rRNA from 1 species
UACGUAGGGUGCAAGCGUUGUCCGGAAUUAUUGGGCGUAAAGAGCUCGUAGGCGGUUUGUCGCGUCGGCUGUGAAAACCUGGGGCUCAACCCGGGAACUGCGUCCGAUACUGGCAGGCUUGAAUCCGGGAGAGGGAUGCGGAAUUCCAGGUGUAGCGGUGAAAUGCGUAGAUAUCUGGAGGAACACCGGUGGCGAAGGCGGCAUCCUGGACCGGCAUUGACGCUGAGGCGCGAAAGCCAGGGGAGCAAACGGG